UACGUAGGGGGCAAGCGUUGUCCGGAAUCAUUGGGCGUAAAGAGCGCGUAGGCGGUCCGGUAAGUCAGCUGUGAAAGUCAUGGGCUCAACCCAUGAAAGCCGGUUGAUACUGUCGGGCUAGAGUCCGGAAGAGGCGAGUGGAAUUCCCGGUGUAGCGGUGAAAUGCGCAGAUAUCAGGAGGAACACCGGUGGCGAAGGCGGGUCUCUGGGCCGAUACUGACGCUGAGGAGCGAAAGCGUGGGGAGCGAACGG
rnacentral:rRNA from 1 species